rnacentral:rRNA from 1 species
CUUUCCUUCGGGACAGAGGAGACAGGUGGUGCAUGGUUGUCGUCAGCUCGUGUCGUGAGAUGUUGGGUUAAGUCCCGCAACGAGCGCAACCCUUAUGCUUAGUUGCCAGCAGGUCAAGCUGGGCACUCUAAGCAGACUGCCGGUGACAAACCGGAGGAAGGUGGGGAUGACGUCAAAUCAUCAUGCCCCUUAUGACCUGGGCUACACACGUACUACAAUGGCCGGUACAACGGGAAGCGAAGGAGCGAUCUGGAGCGAAUCCUAGAAAAGCCGGUCUCAGUUCGGAUUGCAGGCUGCAACUCGCCUGCAUGAAGUCGGAAUUGCUAGUAAUCGCGGAUCAGCAUGCCGCGGUGAAUACGUUCCCGGGUCUUGUACACACCGCCCGUCACACCACGAGAGUUUACAACACCCGAAGUCGGUGAGGUAACCGCAAGG